AAAAAACAAAAGGAGGAGAGAACUUUUCUUGGGAGAGGUUGACAUUGAUGCCUGCUUUCUCUGAAAAAAAGGGUAACCUUCAAAAAGCUUCUUUCAUUUUUCUCUCUAAAAGUUUUUACCCUUAACCUUACCAACCAAAAUCGCCUUCCAAAACUGGCACCACCAUAUCCACACCUUAUCUCAUUCCUUUUCCUCAUUGUAUACCACAAACCUAUCAUCCCUGCAACCUUUCCUUCUCUCCAACAACCAAAAUUAUCUUCCAUUUUUCUACCAUCAACCUUGCCGCAACCACCUCUUAAUAACCACCAAACACCUCCAUUCGUUAACACCAUAACCCCUCUAUCGGUGAUCACAAUCUCAUACCUUCAACUCAACACUCACCUUCAUUCCCAUAACCACCACCAUCAACACUGUCGUGAACUCUAUCCUAGCUCUGGUGAACAACAACUAUACACCUUCUUCAGUUUGUUAACACAUUUAAACCCCUGCUACUUCAAACAACAACAUGGAAAUAACUCAGCUCCACCGUGAUAUUGCAAACAAACCACAUAAAACCAUCGAAAAGCACCUACACAAAUCUCAAUCUCCAAAUUCACAUGUACGCACCGCCCUCCACAACAACCAUCAUGUGAUUUCAAAUACUCUUUCCAUUAUCGUUAACACACUCUUCUCUUUUGUUAUUUCAUUCAUCACAAACAAAGUUAUGUGAUUUUGAAACUUAUGGUGCAGAUCAAUGAAAAGUCUAGUUUUUAUUUGGAUUUUCUAGUUCAGUAUGUCGUCAAUAAGAGUUAUUAGGAAGCUUCAUUUGAUGCAGCAUCAUGGUUGUUUAGCAAGG
rnacentral:lncRNA from 1 species